UCCGGUUUGGCACCGGCAGUCUCCGAUGAGUCCCCGGCAUUACCCGCUGGCAACAUAGGACAAGGGUUGCGCUCGUUGCGGGACUUAACCCAACAUCUCACGACACGAGCUGACGACAACCAUGCACCACCUGUGCAGGGCCCCGAAGGACACCGUAUCUCUACGGCUUUUCCCUGCAUGCCAAGCCCUGGUAAGGUUCUUCGCGUUGCGUCGAAUUAAGCCACAUGCUCCGCCGCUUGUGCGGGCCCCCGUCAAUUCCUUUGAGUUUUAGCCUUGCGGCCGUACUCCCCAGGCGGGGUGCUUAAUGCGUUAGCUACGGCACGGAACCCGUUGAUGAGGUCCCACACCUAGUGCCCAACGUUUACGGCGUGGACUAC
rnacentral:misc_RNA from 1 species